UACAGAGGGGGCAAGCGUUGUUCGGAAUUACUGGGCGUAAAGGGCGCGUAGGCGGCCUGUUAAGUCGAACGUGAAAUCCCCGGGCUCAACCCGGGAACUGCGUCCGAUACUGACAGGCUUGAAUCCGGGAGAGGGAUGCGGAAUUCCAGGUGUAGCGGUGAAAUGCGUAGAUAUCGUAAGGAAGACCAGUGGCGAAGGCGGGUCUCUGGACAGUUCCUGACGCUGAGGCACGAAGGUCAGGGGAGCAAACGGG
rnacentral:rRNA from 1 species